rnacentral:rRNA from 1 species
AUUGAACGCUGGCGGCAGGCCUAACGCAUGCAAGUCGGACGGUAGCACAGAGGAGCUUGCUCCUCGGGUGACGAGUGGCGGACGGGUGAGUAAUGCCUGGGGAUCUGCCCGAUAGAGGGGGAUAACCACUGGAAACGGUGGCUAAUACCGCAUAACGUCGCAAGACCAAAGAGGGGGACCUUCGGGCCUCUCACUAUCGGAUGAACCCAGAUGGGAUUAGCUAGUAGGCGGGGUAAUGGCCCACCUAGGCGACGAUCCCUAGCUGGUCUGAGAGGAUGACCAGCCACACUGGAACUGAGACACGGUCCAGACUCCUACGGGAGGCAGCAGUGGGGAAUAUUGCACAAUGGGCGCAAGCCUGAUGCAGCCAUGCCGCGUGUAUGAAGAAGGCCUUCGGGUUGUAAAGUACUUUCAGCGGGGAGGAAGGCGGUGAGGUUAAUAACCUCGCCGAUUGACGUUACCCGCAGAAGAAGCACCGGCUAACUCCGUGCCAGCCGCCGCGGUAAAAC